CGCAUCUACCCUGCUAGGGCAAGUGUUCCAAAGCCCUGCAGCUCCAGAGAUAAGUGUCUGGAGGCAUCCCACUCCACCAGGAAACAUUGGCCAGAAGGCACUCAGCUUUCUUGCUCAAUGAGUAGAUGAGGAAGCUGAAGAAGAGGCUGGUUAAGUAACUGGUUUGAAGUCACAGAGUGGUACGUAGCAGAGGGAACGUGAAGUCCCAGCAGAAAGCCAGUGGAUGGGCCUGGAGAUGCGUGCGUGGCCCAGAAAACAAGAGAGGCAAGCAAAUACAGUAAGUUAAUUCCUGAUGUAGAAACACUUUUGAUAGUUUGGGUGCGUGAUCAGAUUGUGUUUAUCCAAUUGUUUUUAAGCCAAGAAACUUCUCUGAAAGUUAACUCGUUGGUAUAAAUUAAAUUUUCAAAAGGAAAUAUGCAAGCAUUGAUAUGAGUUACCGCUUUCUCGAGGCAGUGGUGGUACAGUGAU